rnacentral:rRNA from 1 species
GACGAACGCUGGCGGCGUGCUUAACACAUGCAAGUCGAGCGGUAAGGCCCUUUCGGGGGUACACGAGCGGCGAACGGGUGAGUAACACGUGGGUGACCUGCCCUCAGCUCUGGGAUAAGCCUGGGAAACCGGGUCUAAUACCGGAUAUGACUCCAUGACGCAUGUUGUGGGGUGGAAAGCCUUGUGCGGCUGAGGAUGGGCCCGCGGCCUAUCAGCUUGUUGGUGGGGUGAUGGCCUACCAAGGCGACGACGGGUAGCCGGCCUGAGAGGCGACCGGCCACACUGGGACUGAGACACGGCCCAGACUCCUACGGGAGGCAGCAGUGGGGAAUCUUGCGCAAUGGGCGAAAGCCUGACGCAGCGACGCCGCGUGAGGGAUGACGGCCUC